AUACAUGAAUUUAUUCCUUUGCACCUGGAUGUGGUUGUAUAUCCCGCAAAGAAGUUUGAUCGUAAGUAUGCGUGAGCCCAUUCUUUUCGCUUAUCGUGUAAACUUUGGACUUCUUUAUUGUUCUCCAAUCUACAUUUCUUCCUCAACUCUCCCCACUGUUUCUCGAACUUGUCUUCCUCUAAGUCGGCCUUCGCUAAUUUUCUCCAUUCUUUGAGAAAAUGUACAUUUGAAAUUUUCCCUUUUAUGUUAUGAUCAAGAUGCCAUGAACAACGACGAUGGUUGGCCAUCGAAUAUACCUGGUUCAUGGCUUUCAACAUCGCCAUGUCCCCAUCUGUGAUCAUUGCUUGUGAUUUUCUUCCCCUUAUAGCUUUGGUUAAUCUUUCCAAUGCCCAUAGAUAUGUUUCAAAAUUUUCAUUUUCAAUAGUGCACUUCCAAAUAAACAAGUUUUGGAAGUGAUGAUUAACCCCUACACAAGAUGGAUCAAAUAUGAACCAACGUCGUCAUGUCAUAAUCUUCACUUAAAGGAAUUGGAAUAAAUGAAUAGUAAAAAAUAAUUUGAAUCAUCAAUGAACUGUAGUCAUUAAUUUAUAAUUAUAGAACAACGUACUAGUGAAAAUCACAAGCAGCAUGUGAUAUUUAUUCUGUUUGUACAUUGUCUCGAACACUAAGACUUCGCCAAAGAGGGAAAAAUCAGCUAUACUCAUAUAGUCAGCCCACAUAAUGUUCUUCAAUAUAUCAUAUGGAACUGUACUGUAAUCCAUAAAGAACUGCCUUUCAUCUUUUUUUGUUGAUUCCAAAUGCAGUAUUGCAGUUGAAGCAUCACCAUUAACAACACGAUGUUGUCUACGGUUUCCGUAAAAAUAAUUAUAGAUGUCACUCCUGGUAUAUCCAACAUGGUUGUGCCUGUCGUGUUCCAAAACAUCAAGGUGAUGUAUCGAACCCGGUCUCAUGUCGGACUGCUCACGAAAAUCAAUUAAUGUGACUUGGUGUGGAGUUAUGCGACAAUACAUCAAAAUAUAUCGAGUGAGAUAUUGUAGUUGCAUAGGAUAUGAAUGAACAUUGUUGAAGGUCGCUACACACCACUUUGAAAUGACCUUGUUCAACUUUAUCCUUAGAAAUGCCUUGCAUUCGCAUCUAAUUUCUUGUCUUGGUUUUCUCUUUUGUUACUUCUUGGAUUUAUGAUGCAUACCUUAACACCUGCAUAGGUAUUCUCAAGUUGUAACCCCUUUGUUGUCAUCAAAUCGUUAUUUAUUUUAUUGAAUGCCAAAACUAUCGAAUAUACAAUUCUUCUUAUA
rnacentral:lncRNA from 1 species